AGUGUUGCGCAAUCCAUGGGUAUUCACGUAAUAAAACUGGAGUUGUAGGUCACACAGGUGUUCCCCUAGUAUUUUUGCAGGUAAGAAGUCAAAACAUGAUGGCGUCUCACAAUGGCAUAGAUCUUGCAGUAAUACAAGAUUUCAAGUAGAGUUGAUGGGUCCUGCAGUGAUGGAAGUGGAGAAGGUUAUUUGAAGUGUCCUGGGAGAAAAGAUAUGCUGUAGACACAUUUGUCACAGUUUGUUUUUCAGGUUUCUGUCAAGAGACCACGAUAAACCUCGUAAUGCUCAAUGACGGGACUUUGCUUUCAUCUGGUCAGUAACGAUGUAGACCUAUGUUUAUUGAGGACCCUACAAAUAAUCUGCCCAUCUGACAGAUAUCCUGUUACGGUGUUUGCUAGUAUGAAGGUACGAGAUGUCACAUGAAUUCAUUUAGACCUUCUUAUUUUCAGACUCCUGUCAGGACGUGAUGGUGAGCUACCAGUGGUAGAUGACAGGGGACGUUGGUGGCAUCUAGGUAAGUGAUGAUGUGGGCCUAAAGCACAUCCCAGACCAUGUGUCCUUCACGUACGUAGGUAAGUGAUGAUGGCGUUCCUAACGCUUCUCGUUAGCGUGAUUUUGUUGCACGCGUUCAGGUGAGAACUUCUAAGAGUCCUUACUAAUUCUAGUAAACACGAGUUUACACUUUUCGUAUUUUAGUUAGAAUUUGUUUAAUCCUGUAAGUAUUGAGGAGUCGUUCACCUCCAGGUAGUUGUUGUGACGUCUCUCCGCUGUCGUAUCCAUAAGAUGUUUGCAGGUACCCAGGUAGGUGCCACUGGUCUCUCCUGACAACAGUGUUGACCUUGAAUGGAUGCAAGGAGCCAGGUAGAGUUGAUGUGUUCUUUAAUAAUGGACGUGAACAAGGUUAGGUGCAGGCAUCCUGGUAGAAGAAGUUGUGUGUUGCACACAUUUGUUGCAUGUAUUUCAUCAGGUUCCUGUUAGGAGAACAGGGUGAACCUAAUGGUUCCUAGCGUAACACUUAAACAGGUACGUGUUAAAGUGCGUCUUACCACAGCGCAGACCGUGUGAACUUCAAUGUCUAGGUAAGUGAGGAUGCUGUUCGUAUCAGUUGUGUUAAUGUCUUUUUUUUUUUGCAGGUAUCAUGUUAAGAUCUUUGCUUGUUAAGCCUGUAUGAGAUCACGUGAUAUUCAGUGAUUCAAGACGUUCUUAUAUUGAGAUAUCUACAUAAUUUCUGAUUUCAGUGUCUUAUAUUGACUUUGUUUUUGACAUGUGAUCUGUUAGGAAUUUAAUGUGUCCCUAAUAAUACUGGUUGGGAUGAGAUUUUUAGUAGUCUUCUUUAGAGAUAAUGUGUAUUUAACACAGUAGUGAGAGAUGCAUUUGCAGAUGGGACCUUGCUGGUGUCCAGGUAAGUGAUGAUGUGAGCAUAAAGCACAGCACAGGCCUUCGGAACACCGGAUAUUUGAGUAAGUAAGGAUGUGUCCUAACACUUCCUGUUACCAUGGGGUUUUUUUCAGGGAUCAGGGUAAGAAAUAAUAGUGUCCUUGCCAAUCUGGAAAGCAAUAGUUUUCCCUUUUUAUAGUUUAGAGAAAAUUUAACACUCUUAAGUGUCGAGGGAUUGCACAUAUGCAAAUAUUUAUUAUGGAUUUCCCACCACACUACUUCCCAUAGGGUUUCUCAGAUGUCCAGUCAAGAAAGUAUGGCUUUCCAACCUUGGUGUUGACCUGGGAGUACUGCAAGUAUCCAGAUAGAGUUGAUGCGUCUUAUAAUGAUAACGUAAUCAAGGUGUCCUGGUAGGAAGGCCAUAUCUCAUGUCUUUUCCAGGUUCCUGUCCAGACCUCACUCUGAACCUAGCGUUGGUGUCAAUGGGCGACAGUGUUGGGGGGCAGCUGUGUGACGAUCUCGGCCUCACCCACAGCACAGGUUAUCUGACCUGCGCAUACGUAGGUGUCCAGUUAAGAGGUGAAAGUCUUACCCGACAUUGUUGUUGACCUGAAUUAACGCACGUACCCAGGUUCCUGUCACGAGAUAACUGUGAACAUAACAGUGGUUGCUAACAGAACCUUGCUUUCAAACAGGUAAGUGAUAAAGUGGAUCCUACCACAGUGAAGACCCUCUGAUCUUCAAUAUGAAGGUAAGUAAGUAUUGUGUCCCAAACAUUUGUGUUACCAUGUUUGUUUUCAGUUAUUAGUAUACAAGUAUGAGAUGUUGUGAUGUUAACUCAUUAAAGACAUUCUGAUUUUUAGAUAUCUAUGUAAUUAAUUUUUGAGACUCUAAUAUUUACCUUGUUGUUGGCAUGUGUGUAGUUAAGAAAUUAAU